rnacentral:rRNA from 1 species
CCUACGGGUGGCAGCAGUGGGGAAUAUUGGACAAUGGGGGGAACCCUGAUCCAGCGACGCCGCGUGAGUGAAGAAGUAUUUCGGUAUGUAAAGCUCUAUCAGCAGGGAAGAAAGAAAUGACGGUACCUGACUAAGAAGCCCCGGCUAACUACGUGCCAGCAGCCGCGGGAAUACGUAGGGGGCAAGCGUUAUCCGGAUUGACUGGGGGUAAAGGGAGCGUAGACGGCGAUGCAAGUCUGAAGUGAAAGGCGGGGGCCCAACCCCCGGACUGCUUUGGAAACUGUAUGGCUGGAGUGCAGGAGAGGUAAGUGGAAUUCCUAGUGUAGCGGUGAAAUGCGUAGAUAUUAGGAGGAACACCAGUGGCGAAGGCGGCUUACUGGACCGUAACUGACGUUGAGGCUCGAAAGCGUGGGGAGCAAACAGGAUUAGAUACCCUUGUAGUC